rnacentral:rRNA from 1 species
GGGUCCGGACACACUGAGGAUUGACAGGCAAUAUUAAUACGUUUUGCUUCGGUAAACGCGUAUUAUGUUAAAUAUGCUAGUCCUUUCAUGAUUAUGUGAUAGGUGGUGCAUGGCCGUUCUUAGUUCGUGGAGUGAUCUGUCUGCUUAAUUGCGUUUCACUAAGGGCCUAUAAAUUUACGUGUGUUGCAUCGCACUUUGACCCCUUUCUUUAAUUAGAGAGCGCGUGUCUUAGUUUUCGCUUUGCUCAUACAAUUAGGUCCUGAAAGCAACGAACGUGACCGCAACCUCUUGUUGCCUUUAUACCAAACAUGUUUUGCGUCAUUUUUUACGAAUUGCGCGCAUUUCAUGAAAAAAGGCUUUUUAAACUAGAGGGACCGCUGUUACUUUCUUAAACCAGAGGAAGGUUGCGGCAAUAACAGGUCUGUGAUGCCCUUAGAUGUUCCGGGCUGCACACGUGCUACAAUGAUUAUUGCAGUGAGCAUCUCAUUUUUACACACCGCAUGCGCGAGUCCAUUUAUUCACCUUCGGGUGUUUUAAAUGUGUAUCUCUGCGCGCGGUAAAGCCUGCUUCGACAGUAAGUGGGU